rnacentral:rRNA from 1 species
UGGGGAAUUUUGGACAAUGGGGGAAACCCUGAUCCAGCCAUCCCGCGUGUGCGAUGAAGGCCUUCGGGUUGUAAAGCACUUUUGGCAGGAAAGAAACGUCAUGGGUUAAUACCCCGUGAAACUGCCGGUACCUGCAGAAUAAGCACCGGCUAACUACGUGCCAGCAGCCGCGGUAAUACGUAGGGUGCAAGCGUUAAUCGGAAGUACUGGGCGUAAAGCGUGCGCAGGCGGUUCGGAAAGAAAGAUGUGAAAUCCCAGAGCUCAACUUUGGAACUGCAUUUUUAACUACCGGGCUAGAGUGUGUCAGAGAGAGGUGGAAUUCCGCGUGUAGCAAUGAAAUGCGUAGAUAUGCGGAGGAACACCGAUGGCGAAGGCAGCCUCCUGGGAUAACACUGACGCUCAUGCACGAAAGCGUGGGGAGCAAACAGG